GUAGGGAAUCUUCCGCAAUGGACGAAAGUCUGACGGAGCAACGCCGCGUGAACGAAGAAGGCCUUCGGGUCGUAAAGUUCUGUUGUUAGGGAAGAACAAGUACGAUAGUAACUGAUCGUACCUUGACGGUACCUAACCAGAAAGCCACGGCUAACUACGUGCCAGCAGCCGCGGUAAUACGUAGGUGGCAAGCGUUGUCCGGAAUUAUUGGGCGUAAAGCGCGCGCAGGUGGUUCCUUAAGUCUGAUGUGAAAGCCCACGGCUCAACCGUGGAAGGUCAUUGGAAACUGGGGAACUUGAGUGCAGAAGAGGAAAGUGGAAUUCCAAGUGUAGCGGUGAAAUGCGUAGAUAUUUGGAGGAACACCAGUGGCGAAGGCGACUUUCUGGUCUGUAACUGACACUGAGGCGCGAAAGCGUGGGGAGCAAACAGG
rnacentral:rRNA from 1 species